AAUCAACGCUGGCGGCGUGCCUCAGACAUGCAAGUCGAACGAUUAAAGCUCUCUUCGGAGAGUGCAUAGAGUGGCGCACGGGUGAGUAACACGUAAGUAAUCUACCUUCGAGUGGGGAAUAACGUCCGGAAACGGACGCUAAUACCGCAUAAUGCAGCGGCAUCGCAAGAUGACAGUUGUUAAAGAUUUAUCGCUUGAAGAGGAGCUUGCGGCAGAUUAGCUAGUUGGUAAGGUAAUGGCUUACCAAGGCUACGAUCUGUAACCGGUCUUAGAGGACGGUCGGUCACACUGACACUGAAUAACGGGUCAGACUCCUACGGGAGGCAGCAGUCGGGAAUUUUGGGCAAUGGGCGAAAGCCUGACCCAGCAACGCCGCGUGAAGGAUGAAGUAUUUCGGUAUGUAAACUUCGAAAGAAUGGGAAGAAUCAAUGACGGUACCAUUUAUAAGGUCCGGCUAACUUCGUGCCAGCCGCCGCAGUAAAAC
rnacentral:rRNA from 1 species